rnacentral:rRNA from 1 species
AUUGAACGCUAGCGGGAUGCUUUACACAUGCAAGUCGAACGGCAGCGCGGACUUCGGUCUGGCGGCGAGUGGCGAACGGGUGAGUAAUGUAUCGGAACGUGCCCAGUAGCGGGGGAUAACUACGCGAAAGCGUAGCUAAUACCGCAUACGCCCUACGGGGGAAAGCAGGGGAUCGUAAGACCUUGCACUAUUGGAGCGGCCGAUAUCGGAUUAGCUAGUUGGUGAGGUAACGGCUCACCAAGGCGACGAUCCGUAGCUGGUUUGAGAGGACGACCAGCCACACUGGGACUGAGACACGGCCCAGACUCCUACGCGAGGCAGCAGUGGGGAAUUUUGGACAAUGGGGGCAACCCUGAUCCAGCCAUCCCGCGUGUGCGAUGAAGGCCUUCGGGUUGUAAAGCACUUUUGGCAGGAAAGAAACGUCGCGGGCUAAUACCCCGUGGAACUGACGGUACCUGCAAAAUAAGCACCGGCUAACUACGUG